AAUUUUCAUAUGAAGGCAAAAAAAGGAGAGUCAUUGGAUACCACCGAUGAUGAUGUGAAAAGAAAAAGAAAGCCAAAUAUGAAAUUUUCCCUGCCCGACUACUCCAGUGAAGACGAUGACAAUCGGAAUCUCCCCCCGCCUCCAAAAAUCCCAAGAGCACCAGCAAAAAAAAAAGAAAAUCCAAAUUCAGAGUUGACCACCGUUACUGCUCUGCCAGUAGCACCACCGCUCUUCCGCUCCAGCCAUGCCGAGUUAACAAGUCAGACCACCACUCCUCCGUCAACUUCGCCAACAUCUCUGCCAGUACCACCCCAGCAAGAUUAUUACAGACUUGUUCUGCAGCACCUCCGCACAAUUGAGGAGGAGCUGAAGGAGGUGAAGCAGCAGGUGGCGGUCAACACAGCCAUGAUACAGAGACUAGGUGGUGGUGGUGUGGCAGAUCUCGGCCUUGUGGAAGACACCAACAUGCCAUUGAGCAAUGCCGAGGACCUGGACGAGCUGGAGAGGCGGCUUAU
rnacentral:lncRNA from 1 species